UACAGAGGGUGCAAGCGUUAAUCGGAAUUACUGGGCGUAAAGCGUGCGUAGACGGUUAUGUAAGUCAGAUGUGAAAGCCCCGGGCUCAACCUGGGAAUUGCAUUUGAGACUGCAUAGCUAGGGUGCGGAAGAGGGAAGCGGAAUUUCCGGUGUAGCGGUGAAAUGCGUAGAGAUGUGGAGGAACACCGAUGGCGAAGGCAGCCUCCUGGGCCAACACUGACGCUCAUGCACGAAAGCGUGGGGAGCAAACAGG
rnacentral:rRNA from 1 species